UACAAAUCUAUACAUGUCGCUCUCACUAUUAUUUUUUAAUUAAUAAUAUAAAAACAUCAAUCAUGUGGCUACAUACUUUCCAGGCAGCAUCCCCAUCCUGCAAGUUUAGAAUCUUUUUAAAUCUCCAAACUCAUAUCACUUCUCCAUAGCUUGAACCUCUAACUCCGAGGCUUCACAAGCUCAUCAAAAUCACUACAAAAUUAUAGAUCAAGGUAUCAAAUAUGAAGCCUCAUAUUCUCAUGGUGUUAAUCAUCAUGCUUGUUUCGAUUUCUCAUAAGCCAUCACUUAUAGAAGCAAGGACACUUUCCCUAAUCUCAAAUCAAGGGUACUCAAAGAUUUUUGCAACACUUGGAGUUGUUUGCAAAUGUUGUGAUGGAGUUGGUAGUGCUUGCACUAGUACUUGGACAGAAUCUUGCAAGAACUUGGAAUGUUUACCUUGGAAAUCACACUAGUUAUUUUUUGUGAUUUUUCCUAGUCUUAUAUUUUAUGUACCUAUAUAUUAAGUUUAGGAAUAUCAUAUAUAUACCUAUAAAUUAAAAUAUGAAGUUUGUGUUCUAAA